rnacentral:rRNA from 1 species
UACGGGGGGAGCAAGCGUUGUUCGGAUUUACUGGGCGUAAAGGGCGCGUAGGCGGUCAGCACAAGUCAGUUGUGAAAUCUCCGGGUUUAACUCGGAAAGGUCAACUGAUACUGCGCGACUAGAGUGCAGAAGGGGCAACUGGAAUUCUCGGUGUAGCGGUGAAAUGCGUAGAUAUCGAGAGGAACACCUGUGGCGAAGGCGGGUUGCUGGGCUGACACUGACGCUGAUGCGCGAAAGCCAGGGAGCGAACGGG